rnacentral:lncRNA from 1 species
CAGACUUGAAAGAAGUUAUGAAAGGCAACAUGCCCCUUGAGAGGUAUGUGUAGAAGGGAAGCAUUGCCUUAGUUGCAAUAAUAAGCCUGGGAAGCAGGAGGGAAGGAAGGAAUGCCGUGUAGAAUACCGCAGGCAUGAGGAUGAGCUCCAGGUCCAAUAACCCAUGAACUACACACUGGUAUUUUGUCAGUUCUCCAUGAUGAUUCUUUCCCUUUGAUACUUAUAGGGAACUUUACAUUGUAAGAGAAAACAAAGCACUGCAAAAGAAGUGUGCCGACUAUCAAAUAAAUGGUGAAAUCAUCUGCAAAUGUGGCCAGGCUUGGGGAACAAUGAUGGUGCACAAAGGCUUAGAUUUGCCUUGUCUCAAAAUAAGGAAUUUUGUAGUGGUUUUCAAAAAUAAUUCAACAAAGAAACAAUACAAAAAGUGGGUAGAAUUACCUAUCACAUUUCCCAAUCUUGACUAUUCAGAAUGCUGUUUAUUUAGUGAUGAGGAUUAGCACUUGAUUGAAGAUUCUUUUAAAAUACUAUCAGUUAAACAUUUAAUAUGAUUAUGAUUAAUGUAUUCAUUAUGCUACAGAACUGACAUAAGAAUCAAUAAA